ensembl:lncRNA
GUAUCACUUGUGAUUAAUGGCCACAUGUGCUAGGACCAGUAACCUAUGGAAGAUUCCCUGAUCUGAUAGCUCUGUAGCCCUCAUCUUGUUGAAGAUGUUGUCCUUAGAGGGUCAUACAGUUCAGGUGAAGGGAUUGGAUCAGCAAGACAACUCUGUGGAGUGGAGUACAAUUAAGUCGUAUUGAGUCCCAGCUGGGAAAAGGAGAAAUCCACAAGAGGGAGAAGGCUUGUGGUGGAGGAAGAACCGUAAAGUACUUAGAGAGUAUAAGGAGGGUUCUCUGGGUCAGAAAGGGCAGAGGGAACCACCCUGAAGAACUAGAAAGUUCAAGAGAACCAAGCAAGAAAGAAAAGAGCGACUACACAGCGUUCUUCUCAAAGCGGUUUAUUCAGGAACCUUACAACAUGCAAACAGGAAUCUUCUUUUCUUCUGUCUCCCUCCCAGCCCAGCCCCCGGAGCACACUCCCUUAUACCCUCCCUCAACUCCGCCUCCUCAGUCCAGACUGUGUAAUCUCAGUUCAUAGGUCCACGUCACAUGGCCUGAUCUUGCAUCAUGGUGCGCCUGCACAGCUCUCACAAUGGACGUGGCUAGUUUCAGGUGUGUGAGGAAGUCAGAUGCUAGUCACGAGACUUAGCUGCAGUCCCAGGCGCCAUCUUGGGACUACCGCCACACCCGCUCCCCACAGGUAACUGUGAUUUCAAGGUCAUUUCCAAUCAUCUAUGUUAAGUGUUUUGACUCAAGGAAACUGGCAUUGCCAUAGAUGAAAUCAGUUAAAGGCAUAUUUAUUUCUUCUUUGCCACAUAACUAGACAAAUGUCAGUUCAAAAGUUGCGAUUAUUGAGUGUACUUUUUUCAUCUCAGUUACUUUAUGUAUUUUUCAUUUAUUUAAAUUUCCAUACAUGUAUACAGUAAAAUAUGGUCAUAUCCACCCUAACAUCUGUCCUCCAACUUCUAAAAGAUCCCUCUCAGAAUUCCCCGUUUGACUUUACAGCCCUGGUUGGUCUGGGACUUGCUGUGUAAAUCAGAUUAGCCUAGAACUCACAGAGGUCCACCUGAAUCUGAUCCUGGGCUUAAAAGUCAGCACCACUAAACCAUUCCUCUGUGUGUGUGUGUGUGUGUGUGUGUGUGUGUGUACGGAAAUAUACAUACACACAUUUUUUGUAUCCCAGUAAGCCCUAUUAGUGCUAGUCAUACAUGCAUACUGUGUGUACAGACAUUCACUGCAUUAUCAGAG